rnacentral:rRNA from 1 species
GGAUGCUAAUACUGCAAGUCGAGCGCCCCCUUGCGGGGCACGGCGGACGGCUGAGUACACGUAGGAACGUACCCCAAACUGAGGGAUAAGCACCAGAAAUGGUGUCUAAUACCGCAUGUGCUCUUCGGAGUAAAGCUACGGCGGUUUGGGAGCGGCCUGCGCAUGAUUAGCUGGUUGGUGAGGUAACGGCUCACCAAGGCGACGAUCAUUAGCUGGUCUGAGAGGAUGAUCAGCCAGACUGGGACUGAGAACGGCCCAGACUCCUACGGGAGGCAGCAGUAGGGAAUUUUCCACAAUGGGCGGAAGCCUGAUGGAGCAACGCCGCGUGCAGGACGAAGGCCUUCGGGUUGUAAACUGCUUUUAUCUGUGACGAUUAUGACGGUAGCAGAUGAAUAAGGAUCGGCUAACUCCGUGCCAGCAGCCGCGGUCAUACGGAGGAUCCAAGCGUUAUCCGGAAUUACUGGGCGUAAAGAGUUGCGUAGGUGGCAUGGUAAGUUGCUAGUGAAAUCCUGGGGCUCAACCCCUUACCCAUUAGCAAAACUGCCAAGCUAGAGGACGAGAGAGGUACCUGGAAUUCCUAGUGUAGGAGUGAAAUCCGUAGAUAUUAGGAGGAACACCGAUGGCGUAAGCAGGGUACUGGCUUGUUCCUGACACUAAGGCACGAAAGCGUGGGGGAGCGAAACGGGAUUAAAUACCCCGGUAGUCCACGCCGUAAACCAAGAAUGCUGGCCCGGGUUCNGAAACGACCCCCGGACGGGGCGGAGCUAAACGCGUUAACCAUUCCGCCUGUGGGAAAACGUCGCCAGACUUAAACUUAUAGGAAUUUGCGGGGGAACUCCCCAAACCGUGGAACCUGGUUGUUUAAUCUAAGAAAGCACGAAAACCCUUACCCCGGUU